CGUAGGUGGCGAGCGUUGUCCGGAUUUACUGGGCGUAAAGGGAGCGUAGGCGGACUUUCAAGUGAGAUGUGAAAUACCCGGGCUCAACUUGGGUGCUGCAUUUCAAACUGGAAGUCUAGAGUGCAGGAGAGGAGAAUGGAAUUCCUAGUGUAGCGGUGAAAUGCGUAGAGAUUAGGAAGAACACCAGUGGCGAAGGCGAUUCUCUGGACUGUAACUGACGCUGAGGCUCGAAAGCGUGGGGAGCAAACAGGAUUAGAUA
rnacentral:rRNA from 1 species